UAGCUACUUCUCUACCCAAUUAAGGACCCUAGCCCAAACCCCUUGACCUUAUCAUAUUUUCACAGUUUACUAUCCUUUGUCCAAUUCAGUAUGUAAAUAACGAACUCCAGUCUUUCAUUCUUUAAGAGGGCUCAUGUGCCAUGUACAAUGGGUAAAGUAUUAUGCUUUACUCCUGCUGAUCUAUGUUGUGCCAAUUUAAUUCUUGGCCACGGCUGGGACCCUAAUAGAAUGGAGGUGGAAUUCGCCACACUCGCGACAGUUUCUGGCGAUGAGGAUAUAAUCCUCUGGGGCAGGGACAUCCCACUCACGCCGGAGCUUGCAGAUGGGAUACUGAGAGACCUGACAAAAGCCGCAGAAGAUGCUUCCUCUUGGAAGCCAGCCACCGUACUAUGAGAAGCCCAAGCCACGUGGAGAAGCUGUCGGUAUGUGUUCUGGUCAACAGUCCCAGCCAAGACCAGCCUUUGUGCAUAUGAGUCAUGAAAUAUUCAGAUUAUCACAGCUGUCAGCCAUUCAAGUCACCCCCAGCAUUCGAGUCUUCCCAGCUGUGGCUGAAGACACCACACCAUGAACUAGAGAAAUCAAAAUCAAGAUGAAGACAAAAGCAAGAUCAUCUGAGAUAUGUACAGUUGGGAAAAUAAUGACUAUGUAGCUUAUACCCAUAUAUAACCCCUAAACCCAGCAAAGCAUGUAACUCAUUUUCUGUAUUUCAUAUGUACUGUAGAGAUAGGGUCUCUGACCCUACUCAGAUUUGCUAUACAUCGGGCUUCCUUUCAAAGCAGGGCCUGAUCAGGGCAGCUGUCACUUCACCCUGAGCAACAAUCCAACAGAUGUAGACACUGGGCCUCCACAUGUUCCUGUUUUGCUCCUUGUGAAAGCCAGGCAACUGCUGCAAACCCGGGACUGACACUGUUCCAUCUCACCUACAGCAAAACCGUCUCUCUUCUAGUGGCCCUAGUUUGUUUGAUCACUGGAAAUGAAGAAAUAGGGGAUUUUAUACCGUUUCUUUUGGUCCAAAUGUGAUUCCCCUGAGCCAUUCUCCCACAUGGGUAUCAAUUUCAAGGACACGCUGCGAUGGCCCAUUCUACCCAAUACUAAUUAUGUAACUACAAAUUCUAAAUCAGGAGGCAUUAGAUCUUUAGGUCAUUUGUACAUGGUUUUCACUUUGGAAUGUGCUCAGGGUGCAGGACAAAUGCCUGCUGACCCCAUGUUUAUUUUUUCAGCUGCUGAUUGAAGUUCUGGUCCAGUUAUAAUAGAUGGAAAUGCCAAUGUCUUGUCCAUUUUCAGCUUUAUUGCAAAUCUUGCAUUGCAUGGAGGUCAUAUUUCCACUCUCAGCAUGUAAAAUAAAAGUA